rnacentral:rRNA from 1 species
UGGGGAAUAUUGGACAAUGGGCGAAAGCCUGAUCCAGCCAUGCCGCGUGUGUGAAGAAGGUCUUCGGAUUGUAAAGCACUUUAAGUUGGGAGGAAGGGCAGUAAGCGAAUACCUUGCUGUUUUGACGUUACCGACAGAAUAAGCACCGGCUAACUCUGUGCCAGCAGCCGCGGUAAUACAGAGGGUGCAAGCGUUAAUCGGAAUUACUGGGCGUAAAGCGCGCGUAGGUGGUUCGUUAAGUUGAAUGUGAAAGCCCCGGGCUCAACCUGGGAACUGCAUCCAAAACAGGCGAGCUAGAGUAGGGCAGAGGGUGGUGGAAUUUCCUGUGUAGCGGUGAAAUGCGUAGAUAUAGGAAGGAAAACCAGUGGCGAAGGAGACCACCUGGGCUCAUACUGACACUGAGGUGCGAAAGCGUGGGGAGCAAACAGG